AUUGAACGCUGGCGGCAGGCUUAACACAUGCAAGUCGAGCGAGCGGGGGACGGGUGAGGAAGGUCUGGGAACAUGCCUGCUGGAGGGGGAUAACUACUGGAAACGGUAGAUAAUCACGAAUACCAUCAGUGGUGCCCAUCUGGGAUUAGCUAGUAGGUGGGGUAAUGGCUCACCUAGGCGACGAUCGCUAGCUGGUCUGAGAGGAUGACCAGCCACACUGGAACUGAGACUCGGUCCAGACUCCUACGGGAGGCAGCAGUGGGGACUAGUGCACACUGGGCGCAAGCCUGAUGCAGCCAUGCCGCGUGUGUGAAGAAGGCCUUCGUGUUGUACAGCACUUUCAGCGAGGAGGCGUUACUCGCAGAAGAAGCACCGGCUAACUCCGUGCCAGCAGCCGCGGUAAUUC
rnacentral:rRNA from 1 species